UGGGACUCUGGCCACGGAUCCCAUCCCAAGGCGUGGCUUUGGGGCCCUGGCUCCUGCUCACUUUUCCUCUCUCCUUGAGGCUGCACACGCUGCUGCCGCUUAUGCAAGCGCCGGGAGCCUUGUGUAACAGCGCUGCGGGCGGGGCACGGCCGCGGGUGGGGGCGAGGGGCCCGCGGGCAUCGGCACACCCGGAGCGUCCCUGCAUCCCUGCACUCGUGUAUCCUGUAUCCCUGCAUUCGUGUAUCCUGUAUCCUUGAAUCCCUGCAUUCGUGUAUCCUGUCCCUGCAUCCCUCUAUCCCUGCAUCCCUGCAUUCAUGUAUCCUGUAUCCCUUAUCCCUGCACCUGCAUUCAUGUAUCCCUUAUCCCUGCAUCCCUGUAUCCCUGCAUUCCUUAUCCCUGCAUUCAUGCAUCCCUGCACCCCUGCAUCCCUGCACCCCUGCAUCCCUGCACCCCUGCAUUCAUGUAUCCUGUAUCCUUGAAUCCCUGUAUCCUUGAAUCCCUGCAUCCCUCUAUCCCUGCAUCCCUGCAUUCAUGUAUCCUGUAUCCCUUAUCCCUGCACUCCUGCAUCCCUGUAUCCCAUCCCUGUAUCCCUGUAUCCCUGUAUCCCUGCAUCCCUGUAUCCCUGUAUCCCUGUAUCCCUGCAUCCCUGUAUCCCUGUAUCCCUGUAUCCCUGCAUCCCUGUAUCCCUGUAUCCCUGUAUCCCUGCAUCCCUGUAUCCCUGUAUCCCUGUAUCCCUGCAUCCCUGUAUCCCUGUAUCCCUGUAUCCCUGCAUCCCUGUAUCCCUGUAUCCCUGUAUCCCUGCAUCCCUGUAUCCCUGCAUCCCUGUAUCCUUGCAUCCCUGUAUGCUAUCCCUGUAUCCCUGUAUCCCUGCAUCCCUGUAUCCCUGUAUCCCUGUAUCCCUGCAUCCCUGCAUCCCUGUAUCCCUGCAUCCCUCUGUCCCUCUGUCCCUGUGUCCCUGUCCCUCAGGGUCGCUCCCCAGGGUGCAUUUCCGGUGUUCAGGGCUGUAGGAUGGGUGCUCUGAGGUCUCGUGGCUGUUUGCUCGUGGCUAGAGCCAGGGAAUGUUGUAGCAGAGCUCCUCAGCUGGGAAUGAAACUGGGCAUGCUGCUACACCUGGGAUGGCUUGGCAGGGAUCUGGGCUGGCAGGGGUGGUGGGAUGGGGGACAGACCCCCAGUCUCCCUGCAAGGGCUCUGCUGGAGGGUUUGUGUGGGGCCACGGCUCCCACAGCCCAGCCUGAGCCUCCCCUGGCUCCUGAGGUGCAAAGUGAUUUUCUGUACCAAACCCUAUUUUUGCUGCUCAUGGGGUCCCCCCAAGCUCCCUCCUCAUUCCUGCUUCCCAGCACCCGCUGCCAAUCUGGGACCGAACCUGUUGCUAUGGAAACUGGUUAUGGAUGCUGAGGAUGCUGCCAGGGUCUCAUCCUGAUCCUGCCUUUUGCCUUUCCUUACCCUGCAGCCCAGGGAUGGUGCUUUAGCCUGGGAUGAGGCUGGGAUCUGCCCCACCCAGAGAAUUCCAGGAGGUUGAACACUGUGGGGGUUAAACCCAGCUGUAAAAUGUUCCCCCCCCGUGCAUUUGUCCAGAUCCAGUGGGAAUAACCCCAGGGCAGCUU
rnacentral:lncRNA from 12 species